UAAGAGGUCCUGCCUGCCCUGUGAUUAUAAAUUUAACGGCCGCGGUAUUUUGACCGUGCGAAGGUAGCGCAAUCACUUGUCUCUUAAAUAGAGACCCGUAUGAAUGGCAAGACGAGGGUUUAACUGUCUCCCUUUUUGAGUCAAUGAAAUUGAUCUCCCCGUGCAGAAGCGGGGAUGAUUACAUUAGACGAGAAGACCCUAUGGAGCUUUAGACACUAAAGCAGCUCACGUUAAGCACCCUUAAUAAAAAGACUAAACUAAUUGUAACCUGCCCUACUGUCUUCGGUUGGGGCGACCACGGGGAAAAACAAAACCCCCACGAGGAACGGAACCACGAACCUCCCAAACCAAGAGCAACGACUCUAAGAAUCAGAAUUUCUGACUUUGUGAUCCGGCAAUGCCGAUUAACGAACCAAGUUACCCUAGGGAUAACAGCGCAAUCCCCUUUUAGAGUCCAUAUCGACAAGGGGGUUUACGACCUCGAUGUUGGAUCAGGACAUCCUAAUGGUGCAGCCGCUAUUAAGGGUUCGUUUGUUCAACG
rnacentral:rRNA from 1 species